CAAUUAGUGCCAUAAACUGAGUAAGACUUUGGUAAGAUGGUACCUGUAGUCCCAUACCCAGUUCUACUGCCAUGUGGUAACAAGGAAUUCAACCUGGAAUGGGGUAAAGCAAGUCUUGUAGGAUGUUCAGGGAUUUUAGCAUUUAUUUUUUGAGGGGACAUUGGAAAAGGUUGACUUGUUUAGCUUAUCAAAGUGGAAGUUGAGAGAGAAUAUGGUCAUUUUCUAUAAAAAUAUCAGUGACAAAUAUAAGCAAGGCAGAAGAACUGGUUAAAUGUAGAGAUUGACAACCUAAGAGCUCACAGUCAUAAGAUAAUCUUCUAAAAUUAGAAGUUGAAAUAAGCUACCUAGUGAGCAGAGGAGUUAAUUCCUGAAUCUGCAUUUUAGCACAAGUGGGAGUAAAUAACAAACUCACAUUAAGAUCUAGCUUAAUAAAAGAUUACCAGGAAGGCGUUUGACAUAGUUUGACUAGAAGAACUUGGGCUUUGCAACCCAAAGUGUUCUUCAUCCUCAUGAAGUUCUAAUGGGCUUUGUUCAGCAGUUCAGAGGCUGAAUAUUUGAAGCUGAGCUGUACACUAUAUUGAAAUAACGGUGAGCCAAAGGAUAGGUCUGCAGUGCAAAACUAUAUUCAGCAUUGAAGGAGGAUUAGGAACUACCCAAGAAUAAUGCAGAAUUUAGGCCACUUCCCCUACACACCACACCAAGUGGCACACAUUGCAAGCCUCCCAGUGAUGUGAUUGUAGCCCUAUCACUCUUUCCACUUAACUUGGCACCAUGUCAACUCCUGUUAAAGGCUAUACCAUUAGUGAGCACAGCGCUCUAUCCUGUUUCAUGAACUUUAUCACUUUCUUUGCUCAUGCCCUAUUUACUAGGCUUGUAAAAUAUGUGUAGCCUACAACUGGCAGAAAGAGUUUGACUAAAAAUAUAGUUAAGAGAAUUCUAUACAACACAGACAUGGAAACUGGAAGCCAUCAGCCAUAAUGACUGUGCUGUUGGACGUGCAUAAUUGUCACUAAGCCACCCGACAGCAUUCCAUGUUACGUGGGUUUGAUUUCUUUUCCCAAAUACUGCUGAACAGAUUGGUGGGAGUUUGAGGAGAAGAAAACAGAAAGAUUUAUAUUCUGCCUUGCACCCUAGAUUCUGAGCCUCACCUUCCACCAACUUUCCAGCCUGACAUCAUUUCUCCGGAUGAGUAGGUGUAGGAGAAAUCUCAUUCCUAAUGUGGCAUAUAGACCGUAUUUCAGUCUCUCUUUAUGUUUAUCACUAACAUAAAUCUCUUUUCUUACAGUGCAGAACAUCUCUUGGAGGCAGGAACUCAUUGACCACAUGCUGCAGCAGUUGGAGAGCCAUGCCUACUAAUUACUGGCACUCUGCAGCACUUCAUCAACAUUUGCUGUUGCAAGUAAUAAUAAUGAGCCACAGCAUGGGUUGAAUCACAUAACCAGUAACUUCCUCCCUACUUCUUGUUUUUUACCCAAGUUUUUCCUUUUCACUUUUCACCUUUGCACCCUGAUCACCUCCCUCUUCCCUGGACCAUUGCGUCUGAGGCAAAGCCCAGCCAGUACCAGCUCAAGAGCUCCCUACCUCUUCCAGCUGUACCUCAAGAAAUCAGAUGUAGCAUCAGAAAGUCCAGCUCACGCAGGCUAUACAAAGGGUGACUCCAAAAGAGUGCCUAAGCCCAUACCCCAGACCCUCCCUCAGCAGAAAACUACUUCCUUAUUACUAUUCUACAUGGUACAACAAAUUAUCUUCUUUCCAUCCACAGGCCCCUGUAGUCCCUCCUUAACCAAAUCAGUGUAUUCCAGCAGCCUCAAGACUCACGGAGGUGUUUUCAGCAACACGUGCUUGGCUCCUAAGACAAGCCCAUGGAAAGCACUAGCCUGACACUGCACAGAAUGAAGCAAAGUACAACCCAUGCAGCAUGCAAAGCCUCAACUUUAACUGCUUUAUUUUCUGGUUGAGAAGCUAACAUUGGUCAUAAGAAAUCAGCCUGAAAUCCUAUGUUGUCCAAUGUCCUGUUUCUGAGGAAAAGCAAGGGAAGAUCUCAGCCACAUAAACUGGAAUCUAGAUGUGGAGACAGAAAAACAGAUACUCAAAUCCUGGCACCAGAUGUCUGAUGGCAUGUUUGGAGAAUUAGUAAGACUGGAAAGACAAGAAAAAUGGAAAGAAAGUCUUCACCCAAUAUGACAGGAAUGUAUCUGCAAGCAAUUAUUAUGUCAUUAUAGUUUCACAAACAAUACGUAUUAACUGGUACACAAAUCUCCGUAAGUGCUAAAUGAAAUGUUAACCAUUAUAUUCCAAAUGCUUUAUCACAAGAGACAUUUUGUGACAUCAGAAACUAGUUUUCCUUCCACUCAAUUAUCUCUAUUAACUGGUAUAUGUAUGCUGAAUCCCUGCCGUGCAGUUUGUAAUGCUGAUCCUCAUUAACUGAGUAAACAAAAAUGCAGCCUCAUUGGCAAGGCAAGUCAAGUGAUCAGAGAGCAGGGGUCACUGUGACCAGAGAUCAUCCAUCAUCAGUCCCUCUGCCAGGGUAUGAAGUUAGCAUGUAGUUGUUGGGCACUCAGGGUGAGCCGGACCACAGAUGGAGUCUGGAGCAAGCACAGCACUUUCACAAAAUCCCACAGCUACAGCAAGGUGCAAGACUUUGCUUUAUGUAAAGCAUUUUAGAGCAUCAGGUAGAUUUCAAUGUCCCAAAAUCUGGAACAAUUUAUAAAACAAGAUGACAUAAACCCAAAAAGCACAGUGCACAC